AUUUAUCGGCGUAUAACACGCACUUUUUCCCCCUGAAAAUAGGGGGCAAAUGAUGUAUGCGUGUUAUACGCCGAUAUAAUGUUAAGAAGCCAUGUUUUUACAGUAUACACCAUGGCGGCGCAGCGCCUGCCGGCAGC